ensembl:lncRNA
CUACCGCCCUCUCUCUCUCUCACAAGCCCUGUGCCUUCUCACUGUGAUGGUAGCAUCCCUCAGGGCUGCCCCCUCUCCUUUGCCCUGCCCUACACAAACCUCACCCUGCUCUGACAUCACACAUCCCUGCAGCUCUCUCCUGUUCCUCACCACUUGGCAGACCCUGCUCCUCCUGCAGCCACUGAUGGAGCCCCUUGACUUGUGGAUGGACCUGAACUGAACCUACAAUGGCCCUGCUCUCUCAACCGAUCUGCCUCCUCCUCCUCCCAACUACUUGCAUUUGCAUCCACCCCCUAUUAGGUUUAUCAACAUUGAAGACAUUGUGGAUUUUUGUUCUCUUCCUGUCAUGCCAUUAUUUUCCAAGUGACUCCCUUCGGUCACAACAAGCAUGACUUUUUUUCUGUUCAGCUACCUGUUGCAUUUUUACCUGAUAGUAACAUGAUAAGCAUUGGCUGUACUGCCAAUGUGAACAAGAAAAGAACAAACCUUCACAAGUACCUCUUUUUAUCUAACGCCAAAGGAGUACUAUUCUUGUGAUAUUAUCAACUUACCGUUUUGGUCCCAUAUAGAGUGGAACAAAGAACAUUAUCUUGUCCCAAACAACCUCCUCAGCCAUAAACAAUAGUUUACCCCCUUCCCAAAAGGAUUUACAAUUUUGUCUUUUUAAUACCAUGUUUAUUUUUGUAUUUCACUUGUUUUUCGCUAAAGGCAAGUUCAAUAUUUUUCUUUCCCUAUCUGUAGCUUGUCCUGUCUUGCCAGGCAUCUACCACUGUGAGGCGCUGUGAGGAGACACAUCACCUGAGAUGCAUGAAAGACAAAAAAUCUAUAAGAAAAAAAAGUAUUUUUUCUACGCAUUUUUUUUAUCAUACAUUGAUGGAUCAUCAAGGAAUCUUCCCUUUCCAUUCAAAAUGGAUCAAGAACUGAACCUCAAAUUCCUGUGUGCUCUUCUUGUACACAAAUGGGAGGACAACUUCGUCAUCAAUCUGCCAAGAUCAGUAGCCUUAAUUACUUCAAUCUGGCCAUCUAUCAGUUUAUCUAAAUGUAAUCAAUUGAGCAUCCCUUGCCACCAUCACACACUCUCCACACCUGCUGACUGCUACAUGCGUCUUCCAUGGUUAAAAAGACUAACAGUACUUUUGAGUUGACAACACAUGAACACUUUGGCUGAGCUGCAAUGAAGUUGUUGUAAUGCUCACUCCAGCGUUCAAGUUUCCGGACACCAAGCUAUGAGUUGAAGUGGAGCAGCCAAUGUGAGCGUCUGCGUGUGUGUAG